GAUGAACGCUGGCGGCGUGCCUAAUACAUGCAAGUCGAGCGAACGGACGAGAAGCUUGCUUCUCUGAUGUUAGCGGCGGACGGGUGAGUAACACGUGGAUAACCUACCUAUAAGACUGGGAUAACUUCGGGAAACCGGAGCUAAUACCGGAUAAUAUUUUGAACCGCAUGGUUCAAAAGUGAAAGACGGUCUUGCUGUCACUUAUAGAUGGAUCCGCGCUGCAUUAGCUGGUUGGUAAGGUAACGGCUUACCAAGGCAACGAUGCAUAGCCGACCUGAGAGGGUGAUCGGCCACACUGGAACUGAGACGCGGUCCAGACUCCUACGGGAGGCAGCAGUCGGGAAUCUUCCGCAAUGGGCGGAAGCCUGACGGAGCAACGCCGCGUGAGUGAUGAAGGUCUUCGGAUCGUAAAACUCUGUUAUUAGGGGAGAACAUAUGUGUAAGUAACUGUGCCCAUCUUGACGGUACCUAAUCAGGAAGCCACGGCUAACUACGUG
rnacentral:rRNA from 1 species